rnacentral:ncRNA from 1 species
ACUCUGGAGAGUGCCGCAAAGCAUGUGGCCACCGACGGGGCAGGGAUAGGUCACUAUCCUGAUCUCUCAGGUUCCCGGACAGAGGGGU